UUACACAUACAUAUUCUUCCAUUUUUUUCAUUUAGAUACAGUAAAUACACAUACAGGCAAUUAUAUGCACACUGACUAUAUCAUACUAUAUGGGGGGAUAGAUACACAGACCCACCAUGGACGGCGGGGGAAUACACAGUAGAGUAGUGAAAAGAGAGAGAAAAAAAGCACAAAAAAUAGUAGCGAAAGAAAGAGAAAACAAAGGGAUCGAGAGAGGGAGAGAAAAAGAGAAAAGAGUGAAGGGGAGAACGGGGAGAGAAACAACAAAACUCAUACGAUUUGAUUUUUCCAACAAAAUUUUGUCAAAAAAUGCCAUCUGCACCAGCUAAAAACCUCCAUUAAUUAACAGUGACCAAACACCCACCCCAAACUCCCUUAGAAAUAGCGAUAAAAAAUUACCCAAAUCGAUCAAAAUCCACAUACUCAGGCGAAGCCCCACUCAAUUUUCGAUAAAUAGUCAGCAACCUCUCGUCAAAAAUCCCAUCAACUCCACCAAUCAUCAUCUACCCAUCAUAAAACAACGAAAAAUUCAAUCUGACUGACCUCUUAUUCUAAUUUUCGAAUAAAUCCACUGCAAAACAGCCAAAACAAACCCAUUGCAUAUGAAAUCAGUGCAAACUUUCUUUAUUUUUAGAUUUUUUGUCUGAAUUUGUGACGUAACAGAAACAGGUGUUAACAGAGGUCGAGUUUGGUCAUUGUUGACGUUUGAUUCGAGGUAUUUCGAUGGUGCUCAAAUCAAGUAAUUUGAUUUAAUCAAAAUAAAAUCAUCGAUUGAGGAUAUGGAUAAUGGUGAAAGCUCUAGUUAUGAUUAUGUGCAAAUCAAUGGCUAAGAUGUCAAGCUCAACAAUUAGGAAUGCCCCAAAGUAUUAUGUAUUCGAAGGAUGUUCGUGAUCAAGGCCCCAGGCGUCGGGUAAAGCAUGAUUUAGAGUAAGUUAGAAUAAUUUAGGUUUUCAUUCCAGUACCUUUUUUAUUUUUGGACUGUAUUAAUUAGACUGGACAUCAUUUUUCAAAACUUUAUUUGUUUGUUUACGU